UACGGGGGGGGCAAGCGUUGUUCGGAAUUACUGGGCGUAAAGGGCUCGUAGGCGGCCAACUAAGUCAGACGUGAAAUCCCUCGGCUUAACCGGGGAACUGCGUCUGAUACUGGAUGGCUUGAGUUUGGGAGAGGGAUGCGGAAUUCCAGGUGUAGCGGUGAAAUGCGUAGAUAUCUGGAGGAAUACCGGUGGCGAAGGCGGCAUCCUGGACCGACAUUGACGCUGAUGAGCGAAAGCUAGGGGAGCAAACGGG
rnacentral:rRNA from 1 species